rnacentral:rRNA from 1 species
AUGCAGGACAGAUCUAAGCUCCCCUGCCUCCGUUGCUCCCUUUCCCCCGACCAGAUCUUCCUCUUGCAUUCUGGCACCUCGCCGGCGUGGCUCCGGCGUUGCUCUGGCGACUCAGAUCCAACACACCGUGGUUGCUCGAGCACCGGGACGCCAUCGACGGGAUGUCUUCCUCCUCACCUCAUCUUGUCUCCCUCACACAACGAUGCAGCUUCACCGCUACCCUGA